GUGGAGAGGGGUGAGAAAGGCCCCAGCAGGGGACCCCCAGCGGUUCCUGGAUACAGGGCAUGCCUCCCUAGUGGGAAGAGUCACCCCUUCCAGCACCCAGGGGAGGGAGGAGGGAAGAGGUUGGCAGAAAUAUGCAAAUGCGGAGUGGGUGUGAGCAGGAAUGGGCCAGGGCAGGCAGGGAAGCCCGGGGACUGGGGCGGGCGAUUGAGGAACCUGUGUUUUGCUUCUGAGUUCUACCCCAGGAUGGCCAGAGGAGACCAGGCUUGACUGACAGCCCUGUUUCCUAGGGGAUGUCACUGUCUAGGUAGAGAUGCUGGAGAUAUAGCAGGAAGAAAACACACCCAAAUCCUGGCCUGCAUGGAGCUGAUAUUGUAAGAUACCCCACACCAUCAGUCAAAGCUUUCUGGAGGCUGCUUGCAUUCCUUGGCUCAUGGUUCCU
rnacentral:lncRNA from 10 species